UACGUAGGGUGCGAGCGUUGUCCGGAAUUACUGGGCGUAAAGAGCUCGUAGGUGGUUUGUCGCGUUGUCCGUGAAAACUCACAGCUUAACUGUGGGCGUGCGGGCGAUACGGGCAGACUGGAGUACUGCAGGGGAGACUGGAAUUCCUGGUGUAGCGGUGGAAUGCGCAGAUAUCAGGAAGAACACCAAUGGCGAAAGCAGCUUUCUGGGACGGUACUGACGCUGAGACGCGAAAGCGUGGGGAGCGAACAGG
rnacentral:rRNA from 1 species